rnacentral:rRNA from 1 species
UACGUAGGGACCGAGCGUUGUCCGGAAUCAUUGGGCGUAAAGAGCGUGUAGGCGGCCACUUAAGUCCUGCGUGAAAUCUUGCGGCUCAACCGCAAGCGGUCGUGGGAAACUGGGUGGCUAGAGUGCGGGAGAGGAGAGUGGAAUUCCUGGUGUAGCGGUGGAAUGCGCAGAUAUCAGGAAGAACACCCGUGGCGAAGGCGGGUCUCUGGGCAACAACUGACGCUGAGGAGCGAAAGCGUGGGGAGCGAACAGG